UUUAAAUUAUAUAAUGAAAGAUGUAAUCGAAAAAUUCGGAAAUAUAAGCAACAUACCAGACAACGAUGGAUGUAUGCAGCUUAAUCUGUGAUGGGUGUUAUGCCAUAGAAAAGAUUGGCAACAAACCUCGCACCCUCUCUUAAUCUCCCCUAAAAUG